rfam:Salmo salar isolate Sally breed double haploid chromosome ssa17, whole genome shotgun sequence.
UACAUUCACUACUGUAAGUUGCUCUGGAUAAGAGUGUCUGCUAAAUUACUAAAA